CCUACGGGGGGCAGCAGUGAGGAAUAUUGGUCAAUGGACGAGAGUCUGAACCAGCCAAGUAGCGUGAAGGAUGACUGCCCUAUGGGUUGUAAACUUCUUUUAUAUGGGAAUAAAAUGUUCCACGUGUGGGAUUUUGUAUGUACCAUAUGAAUAAGGAUCGGCUAACUCCGUGCCAGCAGCCGCGGUAAUACGGAGGAUCCGAGCGUUAUCCGGAUUUAUUGGGUUUAAAGGGAGCGUAGGUGGAUUGUUAAGUCAGUUGUGAAAGUUUGGGGCUCAACCGUAAAAUUGCAGUUGAAACUGGCAGUCUUGAGUACAGGAGAGGUGGGCGGAAUUCGUGGUGUAGCGGUGAAAUGCUUAGAUAUCACGAAGAACUCCGAUUGCGAAGGCAGUUCACUGGACUGCAACUGACACUGAGGCUCGAAAGUGUGGGUAUCAAACAGGAUUAGAUACCCCGGUAGUC
rnacentral:rRNA from 1 species